UACAGAGACUGUAAGCGUUAUUCGGAUUCACUGGGCGUAAAGGGUGCGCAGGCGGCCAAGUGUGUGAGGCGUGAAAGCCCGGGGCUUAACCCCGGAAUUGCACCUCAAACUACAUGGCUAGAGCAUUGGAGAGGGUAGCAGAAUUCACGGUGUAGCAGUGAAAUGCGUAGAUAUCGUGAGGAAUACCAGAGGCGAAGGCGGCUACCUGGACAAUUGCUGACGCUCAGGCACGAAAGCGUGGGGAGCAAAAGGG
rnacentral:rRNA from 1 species